rnacentral:rRNA from 1 species
UGCAGUCGAGCGGAUGAGGGAGCUUGCUCCUGGAUUUAGCGGCGGACGGGUGAGUAAAGCCUAGGAAUCUGCCUGGUAGUGGGGGACAACGACUCGAAAGGGUCGCUAAUACCGCAUACGUCCUACGGGAGAAAGUGGGGGAUCUUCGGACCUCACGCUAUCAGAUGAGCCUAGGUCGGAUUAGCUUGUAGGUGAGGUAAUGGCUCACCUAGGCAACGAUCCGUAACUGGUCUGAGAGGAUGAUCAGUCACACUGGAACUGAGACACGGUCCAGACUCCUACGGGAGGCAGCAGUGGGGAAUAUUGGACAAUGGGCGAAAGCCUGAUCCAGCCAUGCCGCGUGUGUGAAGAAGGUCUUCGGAUUGUAAAGCACUUUAAGUUGGGAGGAAGGGUUGUAGCUUAAUACGCUGCAACCUUGACGUUACCAACAGAAUAAGCACCGGCUAACUCUGUGCCAGCAGCCGCGGUAAUACAGAGGGUGCAAGCGUUAAUCGGAAUUACUGGGCGUAAAGCGCGCGUAGGCGGCUUGAUAAGAUGGGUGUGAAAUCCCCGGGCUUAACCUGGGAACUGCAUCCAUAACUGUCUGGCUAGAGUACAGUAGAGGGUGGUGGAAUUUCCUGUGUAGCGGUGAAAUGCGUAGAUAUAGGAAGGAACACCAGUGGCGAAGGCGACCACCUGGACUGAUACUGACGCUGAGGUGCGAAAGCGUGGGGAGCAAACAGGAUUAGAUACCCUGGUAGUCCACGCCGUAAACGAUGUCUACUAGCCGUUGGAAUCCUUGAGAUUUUAGUGGCGCAGCUAACGCACUAAGUAGACCGCCUGGGGAGUACGGUCGCAAGAUUAAAACUCAAAUGAAUUGACGGGGGCCCGCACAAGCGGUGGAGCAUGUGGUUUAAUUC